ensembl:lncRNA
CAGGAGACCCAUUGCUCAGCCAUGGACUAGAUUGGAGAGUGCACGUGGGGCUGCUUCCAGGCAGCAUCUGUGGAGGUGUGAGCAGCCAGCAGCACAAGGCCGGACCCUGGAUGCUGCAGGAGCGACGGCUGCAGCUCAGCACAUCACCGUCUGUCAUCCACAUCCUCAGCUUUCACUUUUAGCCCACCACAGUCCCACAGCCACGUACACGGAGGUCUAUAACUUCAAGAAAUGGACAAAUUACAUAUUUCGGUGCCAGAACCGCUGUCUUGAAAUCAGCGACACGCGGCUGCACUACUACUGGGAUAGGGAUGACAUCGGCAUUGUUAUCCGGGGCAGCAUCAAUCUCCGCGACGCCACUGCGCGGAUUAUCAACCCGAAGACACUGCAUCCAACCACAGCCUGACGCACAGCCUCAGGUCAGACAGCGAGAAGGACCUGAGUCUCUUUCUCCACUUCGGGACAUGAAUGUCUGCAUCCCUGACCAACAGAGGUGCAUCCUGAGCUCUGCAACGCGGUGCUUUUCUUCCUGAGCAAACCACCAUUUCACUGCGUUGCAUUUUUGUUCAUCUCAUUGGGUUGCGGCGAUUCCUGAAGAAAGGAAUUGCAGCUCAAUUGCAGCUGAAGAAAUACCAAACCACGUGAACCUGCUGUUGUACCCUUGAAGGAAAUCCUCACCCAUGACGUGCUGUUUAUUUGCAACACAGCAGUGAGAGGGCACGGGGUGUGCUGGAAAAGUUGGGAUCUCAGCUGCUGAAAAAUGUCCUCACCUCUGAAAAUAUCACCUUAUUUGCAAUUGACGGCACCAACACUGCCUGUGGGGGAGCUGUAGGAAUUACUGGGAAGUAGAUACGAGUAUUGCCUUUCAGUCACACACUGCAAAAAAAAAUGGUGCAAAAUAAUAAUAAAAGAGAAGCUGCCAUCUGGUUUUGAUCGCUCUGUGAUGUCUUUCUUUAUUACUAUUUCUGGGGGGCGUUUCUGUGCGUCCCCCCGUGAGUCCCUUCCGACCCACAGCAUCCUAUGGCGCUGUGACUGAGGCCAUCGUGUCAUCUGAAUUUCUUUGCUUUCCAAGCUUUUCAGGCAUCCGGGAUUUAAUUUCACAGAUUUACGUUCGUAUUUCGAGAUUUAACAUUUUAAAAUGUCAGCAGACUGAUCUCUAGACCCUGUCUUUGAGAGGCUAUAAAACAGAUCCUCCUCGUUAGACGCUCUUGCUUUCUGUGCCCCGAGGUGCUCGCUCAUCAUUCUGCUGUUCAUAGAAUCACAGAGUCACCAAAGUUGGAGAAGACCACCGAGUUCAUCCAGUCCAGCUGUCCACCAUCCAGUCCAAACCGUCCUUUUCAUGGAGGAUGAUGGAGUCCCACUUUGCAGGGAAUUUCUUACAUGGGUUCUUAUCUCACCGGGAUGGCGCUCCGUGGGAGCAUCCCUGGCGGAGCAGAGCUGACCUCACCGGCACAGUUCUGUGAAUGAGCUGAAAAAUAACAUUGCCUUGAACUGUGAGUGAACUGUCAGUAGGAAACGUUGAAAGGAAUGGGACGACGUCCGUCCUCACUAUUGGCAGUGCUGUGGAAAUGUAGAUCCAAAGGAAAACCAUGUUCUGUACAGGGGAUUUUUACCCCUCCAAGAGAGAGCACUUCUCCUCCAUGUGACUGCUGUGUGUUUCCACGGGAUUCUGAAAGAAACAGUGAUUUUUGGAGCAAAUGUUUUACUUUGACACUCUCCUUACCCAACAAGAAACACCACCGUCAAAGAGCUCAUGACUUACUGACCUAUGUGUCUGUGCAGCACAUCCCAGCCACGUGCUCAGCCUUUUCUGCAGCACUUGUGUGCAAGCUGAGAUGGAGGGGGUCCUGGCGUACAACACCUGUGGGGGCUGCUGACAAAACUGUCCCUCCGUGGUCUUUGCAGGAGGGCAACGUGGACAAGAAUGUUGAUCAUGAAGCAAUGACACAGAUGGCAAAAGCAGUGCUCCAAGAGGAGUAUCGGGACCCCGAUGGGUCCGUGUGUCCAUCCGCCCCACACUUGGCUCCAGCACUGCAGCUGGGCAUUAAUCAGCAGCCACAGAGGGAGCGCUCAGGGAAAACCACACAUCCCUUCCUCUUAAUUGUGCUCAAGCCCACUGAAAUGAGUGGAGGGAAUGCAACACUCCAUUAUUCCCAGCAAUCAAAUUAAAUGGAUGCUUGUCAUUAAAGAGUCACCAUGAGCCUUCAGUUGCCUCGCUGGCAGCUCUGAUUGUGGCUGUGUUAUCACUGUGGGGGGGUGGUGAGUGGAUUCCUGCACGUGCUUUAUCCCCAGUCAAUCUCUACAGACUUCAUUUGCUGGCAUUUUAAUGAUGUUCUCGUCAGGGGAUUUGGAAAAUACCCCCCAAUCUGAUAUGCUGUAAGGGUGACCUGGUGCAUCGUGUGAUUUGUAGCCUAGGUGAGGAAAAUCAAAGCACUUCAGCUUGCUUCCACCUUCCAAAGGCAAAGCCAGCAGCAAAGUGAGCAGAGCACGGCCAGCAGCCCCACGAGCUCAGGAGCCGUCCUUUGUGGAGUGCGGUGUGGUGUCUUUGCCUCUUUUCUUUCUUCCUUCCCCAAUGUUGGAAGCUUUUUGUUAACACUAUAGAAUCAUAGAAUCAUAGCAUUGCUCAGGUUGGAAAAGACCUUCAAGAUCAAGUCCAACCACAGCCCAACCAUCCUACCCUAACUCUAACAGCCCUCCACUAAAUCAUGUCCCUGAGCACCACAUCCAAACAGUUGUUAAACACAUCCAGGGAUGGUGACUCAACCACCUCCCUGGGCAGCCCAUUCCAGUGCUUAACAACCCUUUCUGUAAAGAAGUUUUUCCUGAAAACCCAUUAAACUCCUGUCUGUUCUAGGAAAAUUGCUACCUGGAAGAGAAGCAUGCCCACCAGCUCUCCUCCAGUAAAGGUAACGAAUCAAGCAGGCAUUCAUUAAUACAUUAAAUUACUGUGACAUUGAUCGUCCAUUGUCCACUUCCUUCUGCUCUCAGCAGCCCUGUGAAAUGCAUCCACCCAUUACAGUAAAUACUUUAAAAAUUAUGAAAUGCCUCAUUUCUUGCUCAGAGAGGCCGUGGAUGCCCCAUUCUUGGAGGUAUUCAAGACCAGGUUGGAUGGAGCCCCGGGUAACUUGGUCUGGUACCAGAUCUGAAGGUUGAUGGCCCUGCUUGUGGCAGGGGGUUGGAACAUGAUGAUCCGUGGGGUCCCUUCCAACUCAAGCCAUUCUAUGCAGCAGCAGUACUGGCAGUGCCACUGCCUGGUUUUGGGGGUAGUGUGUCUGGGUGAUAAAUGGAGUUGAAGAGGAGAAUUUAUGCAUUAAUGUUAUUGCUGUUAUUGGGCUGGAAAAGAUUAUCUUUAUCUGCACUAGUCUAAUGCUGGCCUGAUCCUGUUAACCAGCUACCACAGAUGUUUAGACAAACACAUCCAUAAUCUCAAGAUGAAAAAUUAAAGGAUAUCAAAUGGGUUUUCAGAUGAAACUUGAGCACAGGAAAACAAGUUGAUAUUGUCUCUUUGGAUUUCUUUUUGGUAUACCUUUAUUUAACGUCCAUGCAAAAUACCUGUGUUCAUAUAGGCAGUUCAGCAUAUACUGGGUGACCGUGCAGCCAAAGAAAAACAUCCUCAGCACAUUAAAACUAUGACCACAGGGAAAGAUCAACUGCACUUGGAACUAAGUGCGUGUCCACAGCACAGAUCCAUGUCCUGCUCACACACUGGUAUCCAAAAUUAUAAUAUGCCAUUGCUGUGGGUUGUUAAGGCAAUGGAGAAUGAGCUCAUGCUCAGUGCCACUUAUCUCGUGCCUGCAGUGUGGAUGGGGGGGUCUCUGGGAAAGCAGGUCUUCCUGACCUCGAGUCUCAUUGUUUCUUAGAGCCAUAGAAUGUCUUUUGUUGGAAGGGACACAUACGUGUUCCCUACUUCUGUACAGUGUCACUUGGGAUCAGUCUGAACUCGUAGAGAGCGUACGGUCAGGAGGAUGAAGUGUCUCUGACCCUAUGGACUUUCCUGGUGGAUUUGGAGAGGGAUCUGUUCCCAUCAAACUUCUCCCCUGCCCUCAGCAGUGCAGGUGGAGGGAUGGGAUUUCCAUGCAGCCCAGCAGUACGGGACCUGGCAGGGAUUCGUGUCCUGCGUGUUGGAUGGGGUUCUGUGGGAGCUGCUGGGACGCUGAUCUGCCUGCUCAGAGCUGGGCAAAGAUGUGUGGAGGUCUCCAGUCCAAGCUGCCACUCAGAGCAGAACAUCUCCAGCAUUACACCAGGAUGGCUGUAAGGCUUUGCUGAGCCAAAUCUUAGAAGCCACCGAGAAUGGACACCUCCAUCUGCUCCCAAGAUCUGAACAAGGCUGGGCAGCCCUGACCCUCCUGAGCCUCAGCCUGUGGCUACUGCUCCAGUGCCUUCACCUCCAGUUCCCUUUCAGAUAACUGUAGGAUUGAUGUCCUGCUAUUCUGCAUAACGCCCACCUCACUUCAUUUUUCAUCAUGUUGAUGUUGAGCAUCAUGUCAUCAUCCAGAUGUUAAACGAUGUGUCACUCUGGGGCCCUCACUCAUUGCCAGUUUUGAAGCAGACAUCAGUCCAUCGCUCACCACCACCUGAGCCUAUUUUCAACCACCAAAGAGCCCAUUCUGCCUCAGCUUCCAAAUAAAAUGUGGGAGAGCAUCUUGUGCCAUCUGACCCACCAGAAUCACAAACACACACACAUUGUGCUCUGUUGUUACAAUCACUCCAUUGGUUCUCUGUGAGCAUCAUUUUAGGUCCUGAGAAUAUAUUCUGGAUGUGUUUGCUUUAAUUAACUAUCAUCAUCUCCUGCUUUCCCAAGAAAAAUGACUCACUGAUUUUACUCCAGGCGGACCAAUCACUUUUCUUUCCCUGAAAUCCUAUUACUUAAUCAAUAUUUAUAGAGAACAGUAUAUGUGAUUUGACCAAAUGUUGUUGGCCUGACCCCUGUGAGCCCAGCUGUAGCUGCAGCCCAAGGAGUUCUGCCUUUCCCUUCUGGUCCCUUACUGAACCAAUGAAGGACACUCAGAAUGUGGUUUCUUUUACACCUUGUGUGUUUUCUCAUGCAGAUGCGUAUUCAUGGCUGUUUGAUGCAGGACCUCACGUGGGUAUGUGUAUUUGCAUAAACAUUCAGAUGAGAAUAUUUGCACGAGUAAUUAGGACUUGUUUGCUUUUCACGAGUGCUUAUUUGCAAGGGAAUGUUUUUCUACCAAAUAUUCAUGAACAAAGGAGGUGGCAAACACAACCAAAGCAGUUCACAGGGAUUAGCUUGCAAGGAGAUUUCACUGUGAGGCCAUAAUAUCCCCCACCACCUCUGGUGGCUGCAUAGUCAGUCAUCUGCAGAACUUGCUGGGCUCUGACAACGCAUUUCCAAGUGUGCAGGAUCAUCUGGAGUGCAGAUGGAGGCAGUCCUAUAGCACUGAGAUUCAGCCAGUAAUUAACUAUAAGAAGUAAGAAUAUUAAUUAUAAUAAAAUAAUCCUCGCCUGGCACGAGAGCCUGAGUCUGGACUAACACCUGUUCCUUAUUCUCCAGACACUGUUCCCUAUUAAUUCUUCCUGAGUUGAAUCCAAAGGGCAGGGUGCUGCUCUGCUUCCCAUAAACCCAGGGGACUUGUUGUGAGGACACAGGUCGGUGGGCGUGAUGGGGAUGGAAGAUCUUUGAGGUCUUCUCCAACCUGAAGGAUUCAGUGAUGCCGUGAGUGGGCAUGGUGGGCUGAUGCCUGGACUUGAUGAUCUUGGAGGUCUUUUCCAACCUUAAUGACUGAGUCUAUGGUUCUGUGAGUGGACACGGUGGGGAUGGGUUGAUGGCUGGACUAGAUGAUUUUAGAAUCAUUAAGGCUGGAGAACACUAAGGUUCUCUAUGGGCAUGGCAGUGAUGGGUUGGUGGCUGGAUUUAAG